UGUUGGGCAAAUUAGGGUUUCUGUUCUAUUGUGGCUAGUACAUUUUUCCUAGUGUACAGAAAUGCUAUUGAUUUUGAUACAGGAGUGCUGGGAAGGGACGAGCAUGGUCCCUUUAAAUGAUACCGAACGGGGGACAGGGAAGUGCUGGGUAGAGCAAGGCCGGUUCCUGGCUAGGGCUUCACCCUCUGGCUUGUGCCCACGAACCUAGGUGAGGACAGGCACUCCUGCCUUUGGGCCCAAAUGUUGCAUUUUCCAAAACCACCCUGGCCCACCACACCCCCAUCCUGGGCGGAUAAAAACUGAGACCCUAGCAGGCAGAUAGAUACACAAGCGUCUGGACGUCCAGAGGAGGGGAUCAGCGGAAGAAGACACAAGCAGCCGGACAUCGAGAGGAUGUCGAGGGGAGCAUGCCAGUGGAAGAGCACAUGACAGACACUGGCAGGACAGCAGGCCAUUGACUGGAGGAACGAUGUGGAGUUUAGCGAGAUCAGGAGGAGGAGAGCACGGGCCGCUAAGCAGAGGGACCCCUGGUGCAUCUCCCAUCUGGCUCCCCCAUCUGCUGAGAACUACUUCUACUCAGUAAAACCUCGGACUCAUUCUCCAAGCCCUCGCGUGAUCUGGUUCUUCCGGUACACCACGGCAGGAAACCCUGGGAUACAGAAAUCCCUCCGUCCUUGUGGAUUUUAGAAUGCCAAGCUGACAUUUUGAGUUUUUAUGAGAAACCAGAAAAUUUGGUGUGAAGACCCUAAGUGGUGUGUCUGACUUACAGCAGGCCCACAGCAAAUACAUUGGAGACUUCUCAACUUUCUGCUUCUGAUGAUCUCAACUUGUGGUAUGGCAAAAGGAGAGCAAAAUGUUCACCCAGGAACGAGAAGUCCUGGCAGCUGAGUCAUGAUCCCCCAGGAGCCAUUAAGAAGUUAAUCUUCAGUCACUUCCAUCCAAACAGAAGAAAACCCAUGAAGGAUGAGAACUAUGGGUCCUGAGAAUGACAGAAGCAGAUCAAGAAACUGGCGAUUGAAGAGUAACUGAAAGAAACGCAAUCUGAUCUUACUAGCAGUGAAAGAGCGAGUCUCCCUCUGAUGCCGAGCAGAAGCUAGACUGUACUGCUGCCAUCUCAGCUCACUGCAACCUCCCUGCCUGAUUCUCCUGCCUCAGCCUGCUGAGUGCCUGCAAUUGCAGGCGCGCCGCCACGCCUGACUGGUUUUCGUAUUUUUUUGGUGGAGACGGGGAUUCGCUGUGUUGGCCGGGCUGGUCUCCAGCUCCUAACCGCGAGUGAUCCACCAGCCUCGGCCUCCUGAGGUGCCGGGAUUGCAGACGGAGUCUGGUUCACUCAGUGCUCAAUGGCGCCCAGACUGGAGUGCAGUGGCGUGAUCUCAGCUCGCUACAACCUCCACCUCCCAGCCGCCUCCCUUGGCCUCCCAAAGUGCAGAGAUUGCAGCCUCUGCCCGGCCGCCACCCCGCCUGGGAAGUGAGGAGCGUCUCUGCCUGGCCGCCCAUUGUCUGGGAUGUGAGGAGCCCCUCUGCCUGGCUGCCCAGUCUGGAAAGUGAGGAGUGUCUCUGCCUGGCCGCCAUCCCAUCUAGGAAGUGAGGAGCGCCUCUUCCCGGCCGCCAUCCCAUCUAGGAAGUGAGGAGCCUCUCUGCCCAGCCGCCCAUCGUCUGAGAUGUGGGGAGCGCCUCUGCCCCGCCGCCCCGUCUGGGAUGUGAGGAGCGCCUCUACCCCGCCGCGACCCCGUCUGGGAGGUGAGGAGCGUCUCUGCCCGGCGGCCCCGUCUGGGAAGUGAGGAGACCCUCCGCCCGGCAGCCGCCCCAUCUGAGAAGUGAGGAGCCCCUCUGCCCAGCAGCCACCCUGUCUGGGAAGUGAGGAGCGUCUCUGCCCAGCAGCCACCCCGUCUGGGAGGGAGGUGGGGGGUCAGCCCCCCGCCCGGCCAGCCGCCCCGUCCGGGAGGUGAGGGGCGCCUCUGCCCGGCGGCCCCUACUGGGAAGUGAGGAGCCCCUCUGCCCGGCCAGCCGCCCCGUCUGGGAAGUGAGGAGCGUCUCCGCCCAGCAGCCACCCCGUCCGGGAGGGAGGUGGGGGGAUCAGCCCCCCGCCCGGCCAGCCGCCCAGUCCGGGAGGGAGGUGGGGGGGUCAGCCCCCCGCCCGGCCAGCCGCCCCGUCCGGGAGGUGAGGGGUGCCUCUGCCCGGCCGCCCCUACUGGGAAGUGAGGAGCCCCUCUGCCCGGCCAGCCGCCCGGUCCGGGAGGGAGGUGGGGGGGUCAGCCCCCUGCCUGGCAAGCCGCCCCGUCUGGGAGGGAGGUGGGGGGAUCAGCCCCCCGCCGGGCCAGCCACCCCGUCCGGGAGGUGAGGGGUGCCUCUGCCCGGCCGCCCCUACUGGGAAGUGAGGAGCCCCUCUGCCCGGCCAGCCGCCCCAUCCGGGAGUGAGGUGGGGGGGUCAGCCCCCUGCCCGGCCAGCCGCCCCGUCCGGGAGGUGAGGGGCGCCUCUGCCCGGCCGCCCCUACUGGGAAGUGAGGAGCCCCUCUGCCCGGCCACCACCCCGUCUGGGAGGUGUACCCAACAGCUCAUUGAGAACGGGCCAUGAUGACAAUGGCGGUUUUGUGGAAUAGAAAGCGGGGAAAGGUGGGGAAAAGAUUGAGAAAUCGGAUGGUUGCCGUGUCUGUGUAGAAAGAGGUAGACAUGGGAGACUUUUCAUUUUGUUCUGUACUAAGAAAAAUUCUUAUCCUGUUGAUCUGUGACCUUACCCCCAACCCCGUGCUCUCUGAAACAUGUGCUGUGUCCACUCAGGGCUAAAUGGAUUAAGGGCGGUGCAAGAUGUGCUUUGUUAAACAGAUGCUUGAAGGCAGCAUGCUCGUUGAGAGUCAUCACCACUCCCUAAUCUCAAGUAACCAGGGACACAAACACUGUGGAAGGCCGCAGGGUCCUCUGCCUAGGAAAACCAGAGACCUUUGUUCACUUGUUUAUCUGCUGACCUUCCCUCCACUAUUGUCCUAUGACCCUGCCAAAUCCCCCUCUGCGAGAAACACCCAAGAAUGAUCAAUAAAAAAAUAAAAUAAAAUAAAAUAAAAUAAAAUAAAUAAAGUUUCAUGCGCAUCCGUGUGAAGAGACCACCAAACAGGCUUUGUGUGAGCAGCAUGGCUGUUUAUUUCACCUGGGUGCAGGCGGGCUGAGUCCGAAAAGAGAGUCAGCCAAGGG
rnacentral:lncRNA from 1 species